rnacentral:rRNA from 1 species
UACGUAGGGUGCGAGCGUUGUCCGGAAUUAUUGGGCGUAAAGAGCUUGUAGGCGGUUUGUCGCGUCUGCUGUGAAAAUCCGGGGCUCAACCCCGGACUUGCAGUGGGUACGGGCAGACUAGAGUGUGGUAGGGGAGACUGGAAUUCCUGGUGUAGCGGUGAAAUGCGCAGAUAUCAGGAGGAACACCGGUGGCGAAGGCGGGGUCUCUGGGCAGUAACUGACGCUGAGGAGCGAAAGCGUGGGGGAGCGAA